rnacentral:lncRNA from 1 species
UUUUAUUAUAACUACUUCAGGUGAUAAAUCUAUGAUCAAGAGGAGAUACAUGUAUCUAACAGAAGAAAUUUUGAAAAAAAAUCCUAGUGUUUGUGAAUACAUGGCCCCUUCAUUGGAUGCAAGGCAAGACAUGGUGGUGGUAGAGGUACCUAGACUAGGAAAGGAGGCUGCAGUGAAGGCUAUAAAAGAAUGGGGCCAACCAAAGUCAAAGAUUACUCACUUAAUCGUUUGCACCACAAGUGGUGUAGACAUGCCUGGAGCCGAUUAUCAACUCACCAAACUCUUGGGUCUUCGCCCAUAUGUGAAAAGGUACAUGAUGUACCAACAAGGGUGUUUUGCAGGUGGUACGGUACUUCGUUUGGCCAAAGAUUUAGCUGAGAACAACAAAGGUGCUCGUGUGUUGGUUGUUUGUUCUGAAGUCACCGCUGUCACAUUUCGUGGCCCUAGCGAUACUCACUUAGACAGUCUUGUUGGACAAGCACUAUUUGGAGAUGGAGCUGCUGCUCUUAUUGUUGGCUCUGACCCAAUACCAGAAAUUGAGAGACCUAUAUUUGAGAUGGUUUGGACUGCACAAACAAUUGCUCCUGAUAGUGAAGGAGCCAUUGAUGGUCACCUUCGUGAAGCUGGACUAACAUUUCACCUUCUUAAAGAUGUUCCUGGGAUUGUUUCAAAGAACAUUACUAAAGCAUUGGUUGAGGCUUUUGAGCCAUUGGGAAUUUCUGAUUACAACUCAAUCUUUUGGAUUGCACAUCCCGGUGGACCUGCAAUUCUAGAUCAAGUAGAGCAAAAGUUAGCCUUGAAGCCUGAAAAGAUGAAUGCAACCAGAGAAGUGCUCAGUGAAUAUGGAAAUAUGUCAAGUGCAUGUGUUUUGUUUAUCUUGGAUGAAAUGAGAAAGAAAUCAACUCAAAACGGAUUGAAGACAACGGGAGAAGGACUUGAAUGGGGUGUAUUAUUUGGUUUUGGACCAGGACUUACCAUUGAAACCGUUGUUUUGCGCAGUGUUGCCAUAUGAGAUGCUUAAUUUUUUUUUCUUUUCUUUCAUUUAUCAAUUUUCAAUUUGUUUAAUUUUUAUGUAAGGAUGAAAUUUCAUCUAGUGUUCAAUAUAUACCAUCAUAUUAAAAUAAUACAAUUGUGAUUAGCUUUAUAUAUUAACAAUAGUUAUUUAUUUGACUAAAUAUCAUUUAUAAUAAAGAAGCAAAUCGUGUCAGCAUAUUAACGACGAUAAAGAUGAUUAUAUGUUUGAAACUUAUGAAUUAAGUUUUGUAAUGUAUUAAUGUAAUGUGUGUACUCUUCUUACUUUUAGUGUUCGAAACUAAUAGCUAGAAUUCAGCAUUUUGACUGCGGUUUAUCUUCGAAUUUAUCCGCAGGAAAUCCUGGGGAUUAUUCCUGUGGUGGCAGGAAAAUCCGAAGGUAACUAGCACUUUCCCUUACGCUUCUAACUGGGAAAAUUCCGCUGCUAUUUCUGCGGGUUUUUCUUCGGAUCUUCCUUGAGUUUCCUGCGGAUUGUUUGAAUUAUUUUUUCAUUUUUUUUCUUCAUUAAAUUUGUAAGAUUUUAAGCUUUUUAUAUUUUUAUAAUGAAAAAGUUGAAUGUAGACCAUGUUUUGAAAUUUUUUUUCUUUCUAAAUUUUUAUUUUUAUUUAUCGACGGUGUAAAAUUUUUACACCUGAUUGAGUGUUUUAAUUAAUUUUAGAUGUAAUAUUUUUUUGAAGAACUUGACAUUUAAAAUUAUUUGUGUGGGUGUUUCCUCGUUAGACUUUAAAAUAAAAUAUAACAAUCAUAAGUUACAACUCAACUAACAAAUAACCAAAUUAUUAUGUCUGAUAUUUGUGAUGUUCCAAUACGUUUUUAUUUAUGUGAGUUUGAAGUGGUAAAAUUCUGCGCAAAGAGACAUGUAAAAAAUUAUAUAUAUGCAGAACUACUUUUGCAAAUCUGUCUCUUCAACUCAUAUAUGCAGACUUUCAAAGCCCCUUACUUUGGCAAACUUUCAAUUCAAAACUGCGACAAAAAUUCUGGCUGAAAGACUUGGUAUAUAGUGGCAGGUUUUUUUUAUAUUUGUGACAACUGGUGCACCUACUCCUAUGCAUGUUACAAAAAGAAUGACACUCCCAAGUAAUUAUUUUUAUGCUACAAAUGAUGUGUUCAUUUUCUAUAAAGGGACCAAAGCUAACAUGUUGUGCAUUUGAAAAUCUUCAGAAUAUAUUUGGCAUAGGUAAUCUUCCAUUCAUAUAUUUGGCUGUUCCUAUUUGCAAAUUGUAACUAGACAAAAGGUACAUUUUUGGACAGAUAGAUGGCUAUCUGACCCUCUUGUGGAGUUACUCAACAUCCCUCCUUAGUUGCAUGCAUAUUGUUUGCACAUUCAAAUUAUAUAUCCUAGGGACAAAGGAAUUUCAAUGAAAAGUUAUCUUUUAUUUUUGAUUAAAUUUUGCAAACUUCUUUGUCUUAAGGAUGCCACCUUAGAUCAUCUUCAUUAGACAACCUCCUUGAAAAGUUUGACCAAUGAAUGAUAAUGGACGUCUCUAGUUGAACUUAAAAGUUAGUAAAAGAUUUGACUAAUAGUUCACUCUCAUUUUGUUCAAGGAUUACACUCAGAAGAAAUUUUGUCUCCUGAUCACUAUAAGGUAAAUUUUCGUAGCUAAAUGUUCUAAGGACAUUGACUGACGACCGCAUUUACCGUGUAUUAUUUUCAACGACUGGCAACGAAAAUGUCCCGUCUAUCAUUGUCAAAUGACUGUCACUAUAUGUUUCCACCUUUACCUAUGGAAAAACCGUAGGUAAUACUAAAGAUACCCGUUUUUAAGGACCUAUACUUACAUUUGCGGCUGUCACUAAAACUUAUUAUUGUUUUAUUAAUUUUUUUUAUAUUUUCUAUUCUACUAUAAAUUCUGAAAAUAAAAAUUUCAUAAAAUUACCACUAAAAUAAGUUUAAUCAAUAUAAUAAAAUAUUAUAAUCAAUAUCAUUGAAAUUUGAAAUUGAUUACUAUAAUCAAUUUUUAGAAUAAUUUCUUGAAGUGGUUUAACUAGAAUAAUUCUCGCUAAUUAUUAACUAUUAUAUCAUUCACCCAAACCACAUAAAUCAAAAUCUACAUAUUCUCCAUUGCUCAUUUAAUUUAUGGUGACAAAAUUUGAAUCAGUGUUCAUAAUAGCUUAUCGGACAAAAUGACAUACUAUCAAGUUACAACUUACAAUCACUUAUUCUUCUUCUUUUUUAUUGUCCAACUAAGUUGGUACACUACUCUAAUUGUUUGCAAAUCUGGGAGACAUAAAAUCUAACCCAGUCAAUCCAUCCCUAACCGGUAAACCAUCAAAAAAAGAUCAAUGAUGUAGAUCCAACCCUAAUCAAUUCUAACAAACAAACACCAUUGACGAUAUACAUUUGUGAGUACCAAGCGGGUCUAUAUUUUGGCGAAUGAAUCGAUCGUCAACACGAAAUCAGAUCACGUAUCAUCAACUCCCUGCCAACAACAUCAAGCAUUAACGACUCUUUCGAGUCCACACAGCCACUUCUACAAUCACUUCAUACCUAAAAAAAAAACUUACAUCCACUUCUACAACAAGACAUAAUAAAUCAGAUUUUAACUUCUAAUUUGUGGAUCUUCAGCAAAUCACACUUGGAGAAGCUAAACCUGUCAAUGAUUCUGCAUAACCUCCACUUCACUUCAUCAAUAUAUGUAAUCAACACAUAAUGAACAAUAUAUAUAAAAGUAGAAAUGAACUCAAAUCACUCAACUCAUUGUUAACCAACAUUAUUCAUUAAUGAAGUCAUCUUCAAAAAUAGCGGGUGUACCAAAGCUAUUACCAUCAUCAACAAAAGUUGGAAGUCCACCGGUUGUCAAAUCCUGUCAAUAAGCUAGUAAAAUAAUCUUACAAGCUCGUGAGAAAGAAGUGUUACCAAACAAGUCUAUUUUGCUCAUAUGAACUUAUAAUCUAUGCUAUCCGCUAAAAACUCAAAAACUGACCUCACCAAACAACGCCUAAAAUAUGUCAUAAGUUAUAAACAUGUCAUAAGUUGUUUUUUUUAAGUUCUCCCAAACAGUCUCAUAAGUGCUUAUGCUAGUAGAUUAGCUCAAAUAGUGGUAGGUGGAUCAGCAAUAGCUUUGGAAGUCCUAGUGGAAGACGAUCGUAAAGAUGACAUGUUAUUCAAAACUUUCAGUUUAUUCAUCAACGGUUUUAUUUCUAUGACAUAAAAAGUAAGUAUAUAAUCAACUUAACUAAAACAAAAAUCGAAAUCAACAACAUUACAAGUAGUAAAACAGAGAUCAGUAACUAACCUUGAAAGAAGGUACUGGGAGCAACAAAAUCAAACCUAAAAAUAUAGCAUAACACAGUUAAUUAAUCGUAAAUUGGUAAUGGUGGUUGCGAUCGACGAGUGUUGAGUACAUGAGAGUAUCGAGAACGAUGAUAACGAGACGGUUAAUUGAAGGUUUGGUCCAACAUGAAUUGUUAUUGGGAAGAACAACAAAUAGAUAGAUGAUCACACCAAACUUCUAAUAAAAAGAACAAAUACUAAAUGAAUGGAAACAUUUUCCCUGACAAAAUAUAAUGAAUGACAUGGAACACUUAAAAAGAACACAAGAUAUCAAAAUUGACUUUAAUUUGUUUCAAAGACAUAUUGGCACAAACAAAUAUAGGAUUGUACAUGGUAUUUGCACAUCAACAUGUUUGCUGCUAUAUUCAGAAUCUGUUAUGCAGAUUUCUACUUCAUCCUUACAUAAAAGUUAAACAAAUUUGAAAUCAAUGAAAAUAAAAUAAUUAAACAUCUCAUAUGGCCACACUACGUAAAACAACAGUUUCAAUGGUAAGUCCUGGUCCAAAACCAAAUAAGACACCCCAUUCAAGUCCUUCUCCAGUUGUCUUCAAUCCGUCUAUGGUUGAUUUCUUUCUCAUUUCAUCUAAGAUAAACAAAACACAUGCACUUGACAUAUUUCCAUAUUCACUGAGCACUUCUCUAGUUGCAUUCAUCUUUUCAGGCUUUAAGGCUAACUUUUGCUCCACUUGAUCUAGAAUUGCAGGUCCACCGGGAUGUGCAAUCCAAAAGAUUGAGUUGUAAUCAGAAAUUCCCAAUGGCUCGAAAGCCUCAACCAAUGCUUUAGUGAUGUUCUUUGAAACAAUCCCAGGAACAUCUUUAAGAAGGUGAAAUGUUAGUCCAGCUUCACGAAGGUGGCCAUCAAUGGCUCCUUCACUAUCCGGAGCAAUUGUUUGUGCAGUCCAAACCAUCUCAAAUAUAGGUUUCUCAAUUUCUGGUACUGGGUCAGAACCAACAAUAAGAGCAGCAGCUCCAUCUCCAAACAGUGCUUGCCCAACAAGGCUGUCCAAGUGAGUAUCACUGGGGCCACGGAAUGUGACAGCGGUGACUUCAGAACAAACAACCAACACACGAGCACCUUUGUUGUUCUCAGCCAAAUCUUUGGCCAAACGAAGCACCGUGCCACCUGCAAAACACCCUUGUUGGUACAUCAUAUACCUUUUCACAUAUGGACGAAGACCCAAGAGUUUUGUGAGUUGAUAAUCGGCUCCAGGCAUGUCUACACCACUUGUGGUGCAAACGAUUAAGUGAGUAAUCUUUGACUUUGGUUGACCCCAUUCUUUUAUAGCCUUCACUGCAGCCUCCUUUCCUAGUCUAGGUACCUCUACCACCACCAUGUCUUGCCUAGCAUCCAAUGAAGGGGCCAUGUAUUCACAAACACUUGGAUUUUCUUUCAAAAUUUCUUCUGUUAGAUACAUGUAUCUCCUCUUGAUCAUGGAUUUAUCACCUGAAGUAGUUAUAAUGGAAUGACAUUAGCACAUCAGUUUUUGGGUAAUAUAUACCAAAACCAAUCACAUAAUGACCAAGAUAAAUGUAAACGAAAAGUAUCUAAAAAUAUUUUUAUACUCAAGUUUAUCAAAAUAAUAAAUAGAGGAGAAGAAUACUUACACAUGCGCUGAAAUUUCUCUUUGAGUUCAGUUUUGUGUUCACUAUUUGUAAUUUUAAAGUAAAAAUCAGGAUAAGUGCUUUGUUCAACACAAUUUGCUGGAUUUGCAGUGCCAAUGGCUAAGAUAGUUGCAGGACCUUCUGCCCUUUGAGCUUUACGAAUUUCAGACACACUCACCAUUUUGAUAUCUUUGGUAUCAAAUAAAAAUAAAAUGUAGUACUGAAAUUUGAAGACAAUGAGGUUUAGUGCUUGUUGUAGAAAAGAAAAGGGUUGAAGUGUGUUGUGGUGCAGAAAUGUUUGGGAUGAGAUGGUUUUUAUAUGAAGAGAGUAGUGUGCAUAUUGGAGGGUAGCUGAACAUAACAUCACGUGUUUGACUAAAACUCUUAACAUCAUGCAAAUUUUAUUUUAUAUUCAAUAUAAACGUCGGGUACCAAUAAUAUAUAUAAUGGCUGGCUGGCUGCUUUGUCCAUACUUGACCCUGUUGGUGUUUGGUGGGAAAUACCCCGCAUUUCUUUGAAGAGAGAGACUACCAACAAUCUUUUAUUUGAUUUGAUUUGAUUAAGUUAGAUUGGAGAAGUCUCUUUUCUGUGUGAUUGAGUGAUAAAAGUCUAUUUCUUGUAUGAGAGCAAUAUAAGUCUCUUGAGCAAAUUGUAAUAUAUGAGAUUUAUAGUGAACAUCCCUUAGAAGUGCAAGGGGACUGGACUACUCUCGAUUUGUGGGAGGAACUAGUAUAAUUGUUUUCUGUCUUCUCUCUAUGUGUUUGAUUUCAUUUCGCUGCAUUCAACUGUUUCAUUGAACAAAACUCUGUUUUGCUUCAGACUCUGAACUAGUUUUUACAAACACUUAGGAGAUUUUGAAAAAACCAACACAAUUCAACUCACUUUUCCUAUAAUUUUCUCACCUUCAGUUGGCAUCAAAGCGUAUGGCUUGUUGCUUUGCACUUAACUGUGUCAUAGAAAAGAUCAUGAGAAAAACAUGUCUGCAAAAUCUAGUUCAAAUGUUUUUGGUAAUGUUGAUAAUCAUGUUGUUCGUCAUGAUUACAACAAUAAUGCGUCCGCCUCUGAUAAAAAUUCAUAUUCUGCCAGACCUUCGAUCUUCAAUGGAGAUGCUGCACAAUUUUCAUGGUGGAAAAGUAAAAUGUAUAAUCACAUCAUCGGUCUUGAUGAUGAGUUGUGGGACAUCACGGAGAAUUAAUGGUGUCAAAGCUCAACUUCAUCCUCUUUAGACAUUAGACAUGUGGAAGAGUUAGAAGUUUCUUGAGGUACCCACAAGUAACAAUUGUCCUUAGACCUUACUCCUCUCAUCAGAACAUCAUUCUUUUCAUCAGUAAUGAAGCACUCUGACUUGGUAAGUUUACUUUUAAUCCUUGAUCACACAAUUGGCUGAUGCUGAUCAAAUUAGUUGUCAAACCUUUUACCAAAAGAACAUCAUCAAGUCUGGGAAGUCUAGUACAAAACAGCUUUUCAACUCCCUUGAUUUCACCUUUAGCUCCAUCACCAAAAGUGAUAAAACUGGUGGAAUACGAGUUAAUGUCCACUAGAUACUUCUUGACCCUAGUCAUGUGUUUAGAACAUCCACUUUCAAAAUAUCAGUUUUCUCUAGACGAUACUCUAAGAGAUGUCUCGGCAAUGAGACUAGUAUUGACAACCUUCGGUUUCCACUCUUUUCUAGUCUUACUCAUCACAUGGUUAUCUAUGGGUUGUGUAGGAUAUUUAUGGUAGCCAUACAAUCUAAAACAGCAUGAUUUUUUAUGACCAUAUCUACCAUAAUAAUGACACUUCCAAGGUAAGAAUUUCGCUUUGUAUGGAUGUUUGUAAGGAUGUUGGGACAUUUUGCCUGACAUUGUGGUUUCAUACUCUUUUUCAGAAGGAAUAAAUUUUGUAACAGGAAUUUUUCCUUGUUUAUUUAAAGAUUGAUAAUUAAAUCAUAUUCCUUUUACAUUGCCAGCCCUUUUUCCUAGUAGAAGAAUUUCAUCUAGCAUAUUAAACCCAUUGUUCAAUAUUCUUAUAGAUUUGGUCAUGUUCUCAAGUUUGGAAGACACCAGAUUUACCUCAUUUUGAAUAUCAAGGAUAGUAGAAAGUAAUUUUACCUUUUCAGCCUGCAGUUAGCUAUGGUUCUCUUCUGGUUUAUACCUCUUCACUUCUAGCAUAAACUCUUUGUAGGAAUCAGCCAAUUCCUCGUAGGAAACAUCCUCAUCACAAGAGUCUACAUCUGAUUCACAUCUUGUAGUGAGGGUUGUGACAUGCUUUUCAGUUUCACCAUCUGAUUCUCCUUCAGACCCAUCAUCAUCAGACCAGGAGACAAAAUAACCUUUCUUUUGUCUCUUGAGAUACGUAGUGCAUUUAUAACAAAUGUGACCAAAUCCUUCACAACAAUUACACUGAACUCCUUUUCCUUGGUUGGGUUGUUCUUCAGUUUUAACCUUCUACUGAGAGUCACUGUUUUUGCUGAUGUCGAAUGGGAUGUUCUUGACAUUAGGUCUAGGUCUUCUAUACAUUCUCUAUAAAACCAUAUUGAAUUGUCUCCCAAGAAGCACAAUAGCAUUAGAAAUACCUUCAUCAGUUUCCAGAUCAUAUUGAACUUGUUCAUCAUUUGUGUUGGAGAUAAAAACAAUGAUCUUGUUUUUCUUUUCCGGCAUGUCACUAAUAGUCAUUUUCGGAUGAAAUAUAGUUUAAUUGUUUAAGCUGUUUAAUAAGGACAAAAAUGUUCUGAAGAAUGAUUAUAUAAUUAAUAUAUAAGUAGAAUGAGAAAAAUGAUAUUAACCUGAAAUGUAAAGACUAUUUUAACUAGGACCAGAAUAUUUCGGAUAGUGAUUAAUAUAAAAGUAGAAUGAUCAAGAAAUAAUAUAUUGUUGACUUUCAGCGUGAGUUUGUCUUUAGAUAUUAAGCACUUAUUUUAUCUUGGACCAAAAUGUUAUGGAUGCAGUUGUAUAGUUAAUAUUGAAUGAAAUAAUAAAACAAUAUUAAUGAUUAUAUUUCGGAUCAGAGAACUCUGGAUUAAUUUGAUUGUGUUUAAUUAGGACCAAAAUAUUCUUUAAUAGAUUAAUAACAACUAUUAUAAUCGUGAUAAUGUGUGUAAAGUGUGACCUAAAUAAUAAGAGAAAGGGAAGAAAGAAUAACACAAGAGAUUUCCCAUGGUCACUUCUGAUCUUGACAAUAACAGUUUCCUUCUCUCUUUAAAGUCUUUGACAAAGAUCUUUAAAAACCUCAAAAGUAUCAGAUUUUUCUUUGAUAAAGUUCACCCAAGUAAAUCUUGAGAAAUUAUCAACAAUGACAUAUUCAUAUCUUUUUCCACCAAGACUUUCAACUUGCAUAGGCUCCAUCAGAUCCAUAUGAAGAAGUUCAAGUACUUUGGAAGUGGUCUAAUGUUGUAACUUUGGAUGUGACAUCAUGGUUUGUUUCCCAAUUUGACAUUCACCACAUACUUUUCCUUCUUCAAUUUUACACUUUGGUAAACCUCUAAUAGCCUCUUCAGAAAUAGUCUUCUUCAUACCCUUAAGCUUCAGAUGACCAAGCUUCUGGUGUCAAAGCUCAACUUCAUCCUCUUUAGACAUUAGACAUGUGGAAGAGUUAGAAGUUUCUUGAGGUACCCACAACUAACAAUUGUCCUUAGACCUUACUCCUCUCAUUAGAACAUCAUUCUUUUCAUCAGUAAUUAAGCACUCUGACUUGGUAAGUUUACUUUUAGUCCUUGAUCACACAAUUGACUGAUGCUGAUCAAAUUAGGUAUCAAACCUUUUACCAAAAGAACAUCAUCAAGUCUGGGAAGUCCAGUACAAAACAGCUUUUCAACUCCCUUGAUUUCACCUUUAGCUCCAUCACCAAAAGUGAUAAAACUGGUGGAAUACGAGUUAAUGUCCACUAGAUACUUCUUGACCCUAGUCAUGUGUGUAGAACAUCCACUUUCAAAAUAUCAGUUUUCUCUAGACGAUACUCUAAGAGAUGUCUGGGCAAUGAGACUAGUAUUGACAACCUUCGGUUUCCACUCUUUUCUAGUUUUACUCAUCACAUGGUUAUUGUAACGCCCUCUUUGAAUUAUUUGUUUUAUUUGAUUAUUUUUAAUGAGUUUAGAAUAUAUUUAAAUGAUUAUGUGAUUUAUUAAGUAGCUUAUUUUAGUAUUUAAUAGAAUAAGAUUUGAAAAUAAAAUAAAUAUUGAGAUGUGAGGCUGUUUUGGAAUUUAGAGGAGUUUAGUGGAAAUAGAGGAAAUAAGAAAAAUAGAAUGAGGAGAGAUAUAAGAAGAAAACUAGGUUUAGAAACGUUUUUACGUGAAAUUGCUUUUUGGAGAAAAAGGGAGAAAACAAGAGAAGAGGAGAACCAAGAGAGAGAAGCCGCCGAUCAUUCAUUCUAAGGUAAGGGUGGGACUAACAUUCAAUAAUCUUGAGUCUAUGAUUCUGAAAAUUGUAUUUAACAUGUUGUAGGUUUAGUUUUUGAGAAUUUGAGAAUUAGGGUUAAGAGUGAUGAUUGUGAUGAUUUUGAAUGAAAGUGUAGGAUUGAAUUAGAGAAGUUGGGAAUUAGGGUUAGAAUGUAGAAUUGAAUUGUGGAAAGAAGUAGAUAAUCUGAUGGAUUAGGGUGAUAAAGGAUGUUUAGAUUGUAGAUUAAUCACAGACUAAGUUUCCAAUCAGUAUUGGGGUUUGAGUCGAUGGAAAUUGCGAUAUUUUGUGGCUAUUUUCUAUUCCUUUACGUAUUGUUUAUAUUUUAAUAAGGCAUGCGUGCCAAAGACUUAUUUAUGUUAAUGAAUUUAAUCCGCUGCAAAGUUUGAAUUAAUAUGUUGAUGAUUUUUGGAAAGAUAAUUAGUUAAUUACCUCAUUUAUGAUUUUUAAGAAGUGUGAUAUCCUGUUUAUGUGAUGUUUUACUCUGAUUAUUUUAUGAAAUUUUUAUGUUGGGAAAACGGGGUGUUACAAUUGGUAUCAGAGCAGGUCGGUCCGUCUGGCCAAGUAGUUGAGUCGAGUUGUGUCGAGUAACAGUUGUAUUAUUAUCUUUAUGCUGUUUGAUUACUUGUUGUUGUGUUUCUGAUUAAUGGUUAUGUUUAUUAUGUGAUCAUGUUUGAUUGACUAACUUUAAUGUGGUUUAUAUGUUUUGUUUGAGGUUUCUAUUUGGCUAUAUAUUGUUUAAGAUAUUUAGGCAAUGAUUGAAUUCUUUUCUUGUGUGCUUUGAAUUUCGAGGACGAAAUUCUUUUAAGGGGGGUAGAGUUGUAACGCCCUCUUUGAAUUAUUUGUUUUAUUUGAUUAUUUUUAAUGAGUUUAGAAUAUAUUUAAAUGAUUAUGUGAUUUAUUAAGUGGCUUAUUUUAGUAUUUAAUAGAAUAAGAUUUGAAAAUAAAAUAAAUAUUGAGAUGUGAGGCUAUUUUGGAAUUUAGAGGAGUUUAGUGGAAAUAGAGGAAAUAAGAAAAAUAGAAUGAGGAGAGAUAUAUGAAGAAAAUUAGGUUUAGAAACGUUUUUACGUGAAAUUGCUUUUUGGAGAAAAAGGGAGAAAACAAGAGAAGAGGAGAACCAAGAGAGAGAAGCCGCCGAUCAUUCAUUCUAAGGUAAGGGUGGGACUAACAUUCAAUAAUCUUGAGUCUAUGAUUCUGAAAAUUGUAAUUAACAUGUUGUAGGUUUAGUUUUUGAGAAUUUGAGAAUUAGGGUUAAGAGUGAUGAUUGUGAUGAUUUUGAAUGAAAGUGUAGGAUUGAAUUAGAGAAGUUGGGAAUUAGGGUUAGAAUGUAGAAUUGAAUUGUGGAAAGAAGUAGAUAAUCUGAUGGAUUAGGGUGAUAAAGGAUGUUUAGAUUGUAGAUUAAUCACAGACUAAGUUUCCAAUCAGUCUUGGGGUUUGAGUCGAUGGAAAUUGGGAUAUUUUGUGGCUAUUUUCUAUUCAUUUACGUAUUGUUUAUAUUUUAAUAAGGCCUGCGUGCCAAAGACUUAUUUAUGUUAAUGAAUUUAAUCCGCUGCAAAGUUUGAAUUAAUAUGUUGAUGAUUUUUGAAAAGAUAAUUAGUUAAUUACCUCAUUUAUGAUUUUUAAGAAGUGUGAUAUCCCGUUUAUGUGAUGUUUUACUCUGAUUAUUUUAUGAAAUUUUUAUGUUGGGAAAACGGGGUGUUACAAUUGGUAUCAGAGCAGGUCGGUCCGUCUGGCCAAGUAGUUGAGUCGAGUUGUGUCGAGUAACAGUUGUAUUAUUAUCUUUAUGCUGUUUGAUUACUUGUUGUUGUGUUUCUGAUUAAUGGUUAUGUUUAUUAUGUGAUCAUGUUUGAUUGACUAACUUUAAUGUGGUUUAUAUGUUUUGUUUGAGGUUUCUAUUUGGCUAUAUAUUGUUUAAGAUAUUUAGGCAAUGAUUGAAUUCUUUUCUUGUGUGCUUUGAAUUUCGAGGACGAAAUUCUUUUAAGGGGGGUAGAGUUGUAACGCCCUCUUUGAAUUAUUUGUUUUAUUUGAUUAUUUUUAAUGAGUUUAGAAUAUAUUUAAAUGAUUAUGUGAUUUAUUAAGUGGCUUAUUUUAGUAUUUAAUAGAAUAAGAUUUGAAAAUAAAAUAAAUAUUGAGAUGUGAGGCUAUUUUGGAAUUUAGAGGAGUUUAGUGGAAAUAGAGGAAAUAAGAAAAAUAGAAUGAGGAGAGAUAUAUGAAGAAAAUUAGGUUUAGAAACGUUUUUACGUGAAAUUGCUUUUUGGAGAAAAAGGGAGAAAACAAGAGAAGAGGAGAACCAAGAGAGAGAAGCCGCCGAUCAUUCAUUCUAAGGUAAGGGUGGGACUAACAUUCAAUAAUCUUGAGUCUAUGAUUCUGAAAAUUGUAAUUAACAUGUUGUAGGUUUAGUUUUUGAGAAUUUGAGAAUUAGGGUUAAGAGUGAUGAUUGUGAUGAUUUUGAAUGAAAGUGUAGGAUUGAAUUAGAGAAGUUGGGAAUUAGGGUUAGAAUGUAGAAUUGAAUUGUGGAAAGAAGUAGAUAAUCUGAUGGAUUAGGGUGAUAAAGGAUGUUUAGAUUGUAGAUUAAUCACAGACUAAGUUUCCAAUCAGUCUUGGGGUUUGAGUCGAUGGAAAUUGGGAUAUUUUGUGGCUAUUUUCUAUUCAUUUACGUAUUGUUUAUAUUUUAAUAAGGCCUGCGUGCCAAAGACUUAUUUAUGUUAAUGAAUUUAAUCCGCUGCAAAGUUUGAAUUAAUAUGUUGAUGAUUUUUGAAAAGAUAAUUAGUUAAUUACCUCAUUUAUGAUUUUUAAGAAGUGUGAUAUCCCGUUUAUGUGAUGUUUUACUCUGAUUAUUUUAUGAAAUUUUUAUGUUGGGAAAACUGGGUGUUACAGUUAUCUAUGGGUUGUGUAGGAUGUUUAUGGUAGCCAUACAAUCUAAAACAGCAUGAUUUUUUAUGACCAUAUCUACCAUAAUAAUGACACUUCCAAGGUAAGAAUUUCGCUUUGUAUGGAUGUUUGUAAGGAUGUUGGGACAUUUUUCCUGACAUUGUGGUUUCAUACUCUUUUUCAGAAGGAAUAAAUUUUGUAACAGGAAUUUUUCCUUGUUUAUUUAAAGAUUGAUAAUUAAAUCAUAUUCCUUUUACAUUGCCAGCCCUUUUUCCUAGUAGAAGAAUUUCAUCUAGCAUAUUAAACCCAUUGUUCAAUAUUCUAAUAGAUUUGGUCAUGUUCUCAAGUUUGGAAGACACCAGAUUUACCUCAUUUUGAAUAUCAAGGAUAGUAGAAAGUAAUUUUACCUUUUCAGCAUGCAGUUAGCUAUGGUUCUCUUCUGGUUUAUACCUCUUCACUUCUAGCACAAACUCUUUGUAGGAAUCAGCCAAUUCCUCAUAGGAAACAUCCUCAUCACAAGAGUCUACAUCUGAUUCACAUCUUGUAGUGAGGGUUGUGACAUGCUUUUCAGUUUCACCAUCUGGUUCUCCUUCAGACUCAUCAUCAUCAGACCAGGAGACAAAAUAACCUUUCUUUUGUCUCUUGAGAUACGUAGUGCAUUUAUAACAAAUGUGACCAAAUCCUUCACAACAAUUACACUGAACUCCUUUUCCUUGGUUGGGUUGUUCUUCAGUUUUAGCCUUCUGCUGAGAGUCACUGUUUUUGCUGAUGUCGAAUGGGAUGUUCUUGACAUUAGGUCUAGGUCUUCUAUACAUUUUCUAUAAAACCAUAUUGAAUUGUCUCCUAAGAAGCACAAUAGCAUUAGAAAUACCUUCAUCAGUUUCCAGGUCAUAUUGAACUUGUUCAUCAUUUGUGUUGGAGAUAAAAACAAUGAUCUUGUUCUUCUUUUCUGGCAUGUCACUAAUAGUCAUUUCAAAAGUUUGAAGUGACCCAAUAAACUCUUUAACCUUCAUGUUUUUAAUGUCUUGGGUUUCUUCAAUGGCAGUCACCUUCAUAUCGAAUUUUUUAGGUAAAGAUCUGAGAAUUUAUCUGACCAACUUUUCUUUUGUCAUCUUUUCUCCUAGAGCACUAGAAGCAUUGACAAUGUCAAGAAUGUUCACGUGAAGGUGCUGGAUAGAUUCAUCAUCUUUCAUCCUAAGAUUUUCAAACUUGGUGGUUAGAAAUUGCAGCUUUGACAUCCUCACUUUAGAUGUGCCUUCAUGAGUAGUUCUCAAGAUAUCCAAAGCAUUAUUGACCACAGUACAAUUAUUUAUUAACCUGAACAUAUUCUUAUCCACCCCACUGAACAAUGCGUUCAAGGCUUUGGAGUUUCUAAGAGCAAGUUCAUAUUCAUCCUUAACCACUCUUCUUCGGGUUUUAACUUAGUAGUGUCAUUUCCAUCUUUGUCCUUUACCAAUGGAUGUUCCCAACCUUUGAGAACUGUGUUCCAGGUUUUGCUGUCAAUAGAUUUAAGGAAUGCAACCAUGUGCACUUUCUAGUAGACAUAGUUGGACCAUUCCAAAACAGGUGGUUUGUUAACUUGUCAUCCUUCCUUUUCCAUAGUAUCAGAAAAUAUCUUACAUGGAGGUCACCCAUAAACAGAACAGGGUGCCUGCUCUGAUGCCAAUUGAAAUUAUUGCAUGUAAAGAAAGAUGUCGAACAUGAUGUCAGAACAAGCAGAAUGUCGAGAAGGAUGUCAAGACAUUGUGACAACAUAAGAUAACAAAUAACAACUUAAAGAUAAAAGCUGAAAGUAAAUGGCACAAGUUAUUCGUUAACCCAGUUUGGUACAACAUCGCCUAGAUCUAGGGGCUACCAAGCCAGGAAGGAAAUCCACUAUAAUAGUAUUAUUUUGAAGCAUGCAUAAACAACCUCAAGAUUACUAGCUUCGCACCUAAUCACUACCCGUGAAAUUUCUAUCUAAGAAUCGCCUAGAUACGAGACCCCUCUCACUUCCCCUCAAUUACUCACCGGUGAUAACAACAAGAACAAUAGAAAUGGAGACACGCUCCGUGAAACAGAAUCUACUCUUUCUUAAAAGCUUAUAAGUGAUUCACAACUUACAACUCAACUACAUGUCCAACUCAAGCAUCAAGGUGAUACGUGAGUGGCUCACAAAAAACAAAGGACAGACUAAAACUCUAAUUGACUCUUUUGUAAAUGACGGCUUCAAUGGUCUUCUUAGGUCUUGAGUCUUCCUUUAUAUAACCUGAAUACAUAAUGGGCUUAAUGAGCAAAUUGGGCUAAACACACAGUUGAUCCAAUGGGGUACUUAACAUAAUAUUCUUGAAGCAUAUAUAUUGUUUCCUUAAAUGUUACAACAUCACACUUAAGAAACACAACAAGCUUAAAUCGCCUAUCACUGCUUCUAGAAAACACACGCUUCUUGGUCAACACUCCAUGUGAAUAAAAUUUUCAUUGAAUCUUCAGAGAUCUCACGCAUAAAAUAAAACUUAUAAGAAAGCGAAACAAGGUACGCAAGGAUGUCUUACCAACAUGUCAAGACAUCUUGUCCAACAUCUUGCUAGAACACUUGUUUUAAGAAAAUGCGGCCAACUAUAGUCUACAAACCUAACAAUUAUUUCACCACAAGAUUCAUGAAAGUAGAGGAAAAUUAUGCAACUUAUAACCACACAAUUGCUCAUAAAUUCCAUACGGUGAAAAUAAUAUUCCCCCUUACCUCUUAUCUUCCAAAGCUAGCUCCUACAAUCUUGAAUCUCCCUCUCCCCUUUGAUUUUUCAAGCUCUCAUCUUCUUUCUCUCUAGAUCCCUUUUUCUUCUCAAUCCCUUGCCUCUAUUCUCUCUCCUUGCCUCUUUCUCAAAACUUAACAAAUGAUUUUCUAAUCCAAAAUCAUGAAAACUACCAUUUAUUUAUAUUCACUUGUUUUGGGUUUAGUUCUCUUAACUUUUAUUGGGCUUAGUCUCUAUUCAUUCCUCAUAAAAAUAAUAUUACACAUUUAUUUCACUUAAACCGCUCUUUUACUCCUACACCUCUAUUCAUUUAAUUCCUAAAAGUUACUACUAAAUUCACAAAAAUACCCUCCAUUCCUAAAUUACCAAAAUACCCCUUUACCCUUGAAUCUCUAAUAAAAAUCAACUAACACAUCAAUUAAACAAUUAAAUUUUAAAUAAUUAAAAUAAUAAUAAACUAAAAAUCAGGAUGUUACACCUUCUAUCAGUGAGUGAUGAAAAAUGGCUUUGGCAUAAGCGUUUAAGACAUUAUGGUUGAAGAUUAAUCUCUAAACUCAUCAAGUUAAAACUUGUCAAAGAUCUGUCAAAAUUAAAAUAUCACUUAAAUGCUCUCUGUGGAGCAUGGCAAAAAGGGAAGAUUGCUAAAACUUCUUUCAAAACAAAGAAUAUUGUUUCAACCUCUAGUCCCUGGAAACUUCUUCACGUUGAUCAUUUUAGACUAAUAAGUACUACAUCCAUCAAUGGGAAGAAAUAUAGAUUAUUCAUAGUUGAUGAUUGCAGUAGAUGGAUUUGAGUCAACUUCCUCGAAACUAAAGAUGAAGCAUAUGAUGUGUUUAGUAACUUCUGCACUUGGGUACAAAAUGAAAAGAAUUGAAAAUUCUAAAAGUCAUAAGUAAUCAUGGUCGAAAAUUUGAAAAUGAGUCAUUUGAUUUUUUUUGUGAAAAACAUGGAAUUCUCCCUGAAUUCUUGUAUCCUAGAACUCCACACAAAUUAUAGAUUUAUAAAGAGAAAGAAUAUGUCUUUACAAAAUAUAAUUAGAACCAUGAUUCACGAAACUGAUAUGACUACGUUUGGGCAGAAGUUGUAAACAUAUCAUGUUAUGUUCAGAAUAGAAUCUAUAUCAAACCUAUAGUAAACAAAACAUCAUAUGAACUCUUCAAAGGAAGAAGAUCAAACAUAUCUUAUUUUUAUAAAUUUGGAUGUACAUGUUACAUCUUGAACAACAAAGUCUAUCUAAAGAAAUUUGAUGUCAAAGCUCAGAACGGUAUUUUAUUAGGAUACUUUGAAUGCUCAAAGAUAUACAAAGUGUAUAAUUUUAAACUAAUACAGUUGAAAUUGGAAGGAGAACUACUAAACCACAAUAGGACAAAACAUAAUCGGCCAAAAUAAAAAUAAGGAGUCAAAUCGCACAAUCGCGAUAUUUAAAGACUAAAAAAUACAAUACAUUUGGGUUGGUCUAAUGGUGACGUAGGACUUUGGAAUACACUCCUCUCAAUAUCUCAUAUUAGAGUCUCUCUAAUGUUAAUGUCGGUGGAAUAAUUUGGGUUCUUAUAGAAGGAAAAAAAAAAAAACUAAAAAGUGCAAUUAAGCUAAUGAGAUAUUUGACAAUUAGUUUAUGAAAGAAAUGAAAAAAGGGUUGGACAAAAGAGGAUCUUCAAAGACACGCGGGGUAUUUCCCACCAAACUCCAACAGGGUCAAGUAAUGGACAAAGCAGCCAGCCAGCCAGCCAUUAUAUGUAUUAUUGGUACCCGACGUUUAUAUUGAAUAUAAAAUAAAAUUUGCAUGAUGUUAAGAGUUUUAGUCAAACACAUGAUGUUCAGCUACCCUCCAAUAUGCACACUACUCUCUUCAUAUAAAAACCAUCUCAUCCCAAACAUUUCUGCACCACAACACACUUCAACCCUUUUCUUUUCUACAACAAGCACUAAACCUCAUUGUCUUCAAAUUUCAGUACUACAUUUUAUUUUUAUUUGAUACCAAAGAUAUCAAAAUGGUGAGUGUGUCUGAAAUUCGUAAAGCUCAAAGGGCAGAAGGUCCUGCAACUAUCUUAGCCAUUGGCACUGCAAAUCCAGCAAAUUGUGUUGAACAAAGCACUUAUCCUGAUUUUUACUUUAAAAUUACAAAUAGUGAACACAAAACUGAACUCAAAGAGAAAUUUCAGCGCAUGUGUAAGUAUUCUUCUCCUCUAUUUAUUAUUUUGAUAAACUUGAGUAUAAAAAUAUUUUUAGAUACUUUUCGUUUACAUUUAUCUUGGUCAUUAUGUGAUUGGUUUUGGUAUAUAUUACCCAAAAACUGAUGUGCUAAUGUCAUUCCAUUAUAACUACUUCAGGUGAUAAAUCCAUGAUCAAGAGGAGAUACAUGUAUCUAACAGAAGAAAUUUUGAAAGAAAAUCCUAGUGUUUGUGAAUACAUGGCCCCUUCAUUGGAUGCUAGGCAAGACAUGGUGGUGGUAGAGGUACCUAGACUAGGAAAGGAGGCUGCAGUGAAGGCUAUAAAAGAAUGGGGUCAACCAAAGUCAAAGAUUACUCACUUAAUCGUUUGCACCACAAGUGGUGUAGACAUGCCCGAAGCUGAUUAUCAACUC